AUUGAACGCUGGCGGCAGGCCUAACACCUGCCAGUCGAGCGGAGCGGCCGACGGGUGAGUAAUGCCUAGGAAUCUGCCUGGUAGUGGGAGAUAACGUCCGGAUACGGGCGCUAAUACCUCACACUCUCAGCUGCGCCUCUGUGGGAUUAGCGAGGUGGUGGGUUAAAGGCCUACCAAGGCGACGAUCCGUAACUGGUCUGAGAGGAUGAUCAGUCAAACUGGAACUGAGACACGUUCCAGACGCCUACGUGAGGCAGCAGUGGGGAAUAUUGGACAAUGGGCAAAAGCCUGAUCCAGCCAUGCCGCGUGUGUGAAGAAGGUCUUCGGAGUGUAAAGCACUUUCAGUUGGGAGGCGUUACCAACAGAAUAAGCACAGGCUAACUUCGUGCCAGCAGCCGCGGUAAUAC
rnacentral:rRNA from 1 species